ensembl:snoRNA SNORA55 small nucleolar RNA, H/ACA box 55
GCACCUAAAUCUUUCCCAUUCCUUGCUGCUUCGUGCUGGUGUGGGGACAGACGGUGCUACAGCAUGAGCAGAGGAAAUCCAGACAGGUUUUCCAUUUGUCUUGGGACUUGUCUCUACAACUCUGCCACAUUU